UAACGCUAACACCGGAGCAUUUUGUUGAGAUCUAUUUUGUAAAGAUGUCGUCCAAUGACUUCUAUUUAAGAUAUUAUGUAGGGCACAAGGGAAAGUUUGGACAUGAGUUUCUCGAGUUUGAGUUUCGUCCUGAUGGCAAACUGCGUUAUGCAAACAACUCAAACUACAAGAAUGACGUCAUGAUCCGCAAAGAGGUAAC